UUAAGUAUAGUUAAAGAUUAAUAAUAUCAUGUUUUCAUCAUGAAGUUCUCAAAGGGUGCUUAUU
rnacentral:tRNA from 1 species